rnacentral:rRNA from 1 species
UACGUAGGGGGCAAGCGUUGUCCGGAUUUAUUGGGCGUAAAGGGUGCGUAGGCGGGUCUUUAAGUCAGGGGUGAAAUCCUGGAGCUCAACUCCAGAACUGCCUUUGAUACUGAGGAUCUCGAGUCCGGGAGAGGUGAGUGGAACUGCGAGUGUAGAGGUGAAAUUCGUAGAUAUUCGCAAGAACACCAGUGGCGAAGGCGGCUCACUGGCCCGGUACUGACGCUGAGGUGCGAAAGCGUGGGGAGCAACAGG